GGCCGGUGAUGUGAGUACAAAUAUUUGCUACUCUUGAUUGGAGUUUUUUCAAUUCCACGUGAUGAUUCCUAUCCACCAAGAUCUCUGAGGCC